rnacentral:rRNA from 1 species
AUUGAACGCUGGCGGCGUGCUUAACACAUGCAAGUCGUGCGGUAACAGGCGUAGCAAUACGUGCUGACGAGCGGCGAACGGGUGCGUAAUACAUGGGAAUCUGCCUUUUAGUGGGGAAUAACCCGGCGAAAGCCGGGCUAAUGCCGCAUAAGAUCUUCGGAUGAAAGCGGGGGAGUCGUAAGACCUCGCGCUGAUAGAUGAGCCCACUGCCGGAUUAGCUAGUUGGUGAGGUAACGGCUCACCAAGGACGGACGAUCCGUAGCUGGUCUGAGAGGACGGCCAGCCACACUGGGACUGA